UACGGAGGGGGCAAGCGUUACUCGGAAUUAUUGGGCGUAAAGGGCGCGUAGGCGAUCUGAAAAGUUCUGUGUGAAAGCCCACAUGUUAACUGUGGAAGUGCACAGAAAACUGUUGGAUUUGAGUUCAGGAGAGGAAAGCAGAAUUCCCGGUGUAGCGGUGAAAUGCGUAGAGAUCGGGAGGAAUACCAGUGGCGAAGGCGGCUUUCUGGACUGACACUGACGCUGAGGCGCGAAAGCCAGGGGAGCAAACGGG
rnacentral:rRNA from 1 species